GUGGAAAUGAUGAUUAUUUCCCAAGAUUAUAGAAGUUGAUUAUACUGUGCGCAUUUAAUUAUAUUCUCUAUUACGUUAUAGAGAAUCCAAGCCAGAAAUCUCUGAUCCUAUAUCUGUUUAUGUUGAUAAAAUAUGAGUUCCUCUGAUGAUGAUUCAAAUAAAAACUUUCGUUCUUCAGAGGAUGAUAUCCGUCUAUGCAGAAACGAUUAUUGGAGACCUGAGCUGAAGAGAC
rnacentral:lncRNA from 1 species